rnacentral:rRNA from 1 species
AGAGUUUGAUCCUGGCUCAGAGCGAACGCUGGCGGCGUGCUUAACACAUGCAAGUCGAACGCGCAGCAUUCUGUAGCAAUACAGGGUGUGGGCGCGUGGCGAACGGGUGCGUAACACGUGGAUAACCUUCCUUGAGGUGGGGAAUAACCCAGUGAAAAUUGGGCUAAUACCGCAUAACAUCGCGAUGGCACAUGCUGAUGCGAUCAAAGGCGCAAGUCGCCACAAGAGGGAUCCGCGGCCGAUUAGCUAGUUGGCGAGGUAAUGGCUCACCAAGGCAAUGAUCGGUAGCCGGACUGAGAGGUUGGCCGGCCACACUGGAACUGAGACACGGUCCAGACUCCUACGGGAGGCAGCAGUGGGGAAUCUUGCGCAAUGGACGAAAGUCUGAUGCAGCAACGCCGCGUGGGGGAUGAAGCUUCUCGGAGUGUAAACCCCUUUCGACCCGGAAGAAUGCCCGCAAGGGUAUGACGGUACGGGUAUAAGAAGCCCCGGCUAACUACGUGCCAGCAGCCGCGGUAAUACGUAGGGGGCCAGCGUUGCUCGGAAUUACUGGGCGUAAAGGGUCCGUAGGCGGUGUAGCAAGUCGAUAGUGAAAUCUCUGGGCUUAACCCAGAGGCUGCUAACGAAACUGCUGUGCUAGAGUGUGAGAGAGGCGAGUGGAAUUACGGGUGUAGCGGUGAAAUGCGUAGAUAUCCGUAGGAACAUCCGAGGCGAAGGCGGCUCGCCGGAUCACAACUGACGCUGAGGGACGAAAGCUAGGGGAGCAAACAGGAUUAGAUACCCUAGUAGUCC